CGGUUGAUCCUGCCGGACCCUACCGCUAUCGGGGUAGGACUAAGCCAUGCAAGCCAAGCGACUCCCAGCUAUGGAGACGCGGCAAACACCUCAGUAACCCGUGGUUAACCUCCGCUUAAGACGGGGAGAACGCCGGGAAACUGGCGCUACUCCCCGAUGGAUGCGGGGUCCUGGUAUGGUCCCGCAUCGAGCGGGAGCUCAGGUCACCCUGAGUUCCGCUUAAGCAUGGAACCGCGGCCGAUCAGGUUGUUGGUGGGGUAACGGCCCACCAAGCCUAUAACCGGUACGGGCCCUGAGCGGGGGCACCCGGAGAUGGGUCCUGAGACAAGGACCCAGGCCCUACGGGGCGCAGCAGGCGCGAAAACUCCGCAAUACGCGAAAGCGUGACGGGGCUACCCCGAGUGCCUUCCGAAACGGAAGGCUUUUCCCCAGUGUAUAAAGCUGGGGGAAUAAGGGGAGGGCAAGCUUGGUGUCAGCCGCCGCGGUAAUACCAACUCCCCGAGUGGUAGGGAUUAUUAUUGGGCUUAAAGCGUCCGUAGCUGGCCUAACAAGUCCCCCGUUAAAUCCAACGACCUAAUCGUUGGGCUGCGGGGGAUACUGUUAGGCUUGGGGGCGGGAGAGGCCGACGGUAUUCCCGGGGUAGGGGUGAAAUCCUAUAAUCCCGGGAGGACCACCAGUGGCGAAGGCUGUCGGCUAGUACGCGCCCGACGGUGAGGGACGAAAGCUGGGGGAGCGAACCGGAUUAGAUACCCGGGUAGUCCCAGCUGUAAACGAUGCAGGCUAGGUGUUGGGGCGGCUACGUGCCGCUCCAGUGCCGCAGGGAAGCCGUUAAGCCUGCCGCCUGGGAAGUACGGCCGCAAGGCUGAAACUUAAAGGAAUUGGCGGGGGAGCAC
rnacentral:rRNA from 1 species